AACGAACGCUGGCGGCAGGCUUAACUCAUGCAAGUCGAACGCACCGCAAGGUGAGUGGCAGACGGGUGAGUAACGCGUGGGAACGUACCCUUUACUACGGAAUAACUCAGGGAAACUUGUGCUAAUACCGUAUGUGCCCUUCGGGGGAAAGAUUUAUCGGUAAAGGAUCGGCCCGCGUUGGAUUAGCUAGUUGGUGGGGUAAAGGCCUACCAAGGCGACGAUCCAUAGCUGGUCUGAGAGGAUGAUCAGCCACAUUGGGACUGAGACACGGCCCAAACUCCUACGGGAGGCAGCAGUGGGGAAUAUUGGACAAUGGGCGCAAGCCUGAUCCAGCCAUGCCGCGUGAGUGAUGAAGGUCUUAGGAUUGUAAAGCUCUUUCACCGGGGAAGAUAAUGACGGUACCCGGAGAAGAAGCCCCGGCUAACUUCGUGCCAGCCGCCGCGGUAAAAC
rnacentral:rRNA from 1 species